UGGGGAAUAUUGCACAAUGGGGGAAACCCUGAUGCAGCGACGCCGCGUGAGCGAUGAAGUAUUUCGGUAUGUAAAGCUCUAUCAGCAGGGAAGAAUUAGGACGGUACCUGACUAAGAAGCACCGGCUAAAUACGUGCC
rnacentral:rRNA from 1 species